CACAAUUUUGUCGGAACACAUUACGCACAACAACAAAGAGUUAAAGUGCAAUGUAGACGUUUCUAUGCUACAUAUAUGUUUCUGCAAUAUGAAAAUUUCCCUAUUAAAUAUAGUCUCAAAUUUUCAAGCAGCACAAGAAAAAAGAAACUUGUUUGUCGUGGAUAGCAAUAAACAACACUUUAUGUACAAAACAAUGAAAGUCGCUAUUUUAUUUUGCAUUAAAAGGAACGAUUAGUGUGUAAACUUGUUUCGCGUCUACUUGAAAGUUUGAUUAAGUUUCGGGAAUGAAACCGUGUUUUCCGAAAACUAAUGCUCAAAGGCGGGUUAAAAUUUAACUUAUCACUUUCGAGUUUCUCGACCAGACUUAACACGUGUACGCCAUGACUAAUCUGUUUUACUUCGGUUGUUUGCAACGGUAAAUCCGUGUGCUGAGCAUGUUAUAUACCUUCGGUAGGUGAUUAGGGGAUUGGGAUAUAUUAUUUCGACUAUUAUGAUGUAGGCUGAGAGACCUACCUUAUGGUGAUUUAAAAUUGAUAAUACGGCGUUUCAUAUUUAGUGUCCAUCAACUUUUAUUUUCUUUAGGAGCCAUAUUAGGUAAUACAAAAUAUAAAUAGUAUCAUACUGAUUUCUUCUUUUAAUAUAGAGAUAUUAUGAAAAAGACCCAAAAUCUCUGAUGUAACCUUUGGUUACACCAUAUAUAUAUUUUGCUUUGCUGGGGCACACUGACUACCUUUUACGGUUUGGCUUGAGGAAUUUAUGGUUGGUCCCCUAUAUACCAAAGUUGUCCUGAUAGGUUGUGGGUUUCAAAAGGGUGGUUCUGUGGGUGCCAAACACGGUUUAACUACUGAACGUACCCAUCUAUCAACACACCCCCGUGUUUAGGGACAGUGGAAGUAAAUAAAAUUUUCUUAUAAAGAGAACAUAGUUUAUUAGUACCUAGUGAUUCUUUUCCCUGUGGUUCUGGAACCUACUUGGUAUUACUCGAUUUGUCCCUUUUCUACUUCCUCCAGGUAAAUCUAAGUUCGCUACAAUGUACAGUUACAAUGUUCAAAUCAAUCAGCUGAUGUCCAAUACAUAUCAUACAGCAUCAAAAAUGAAAAUAUCAGGACAAAAAGCAGAUAUCAAAGUAGCAUAUAACAAAUAGCAGCUGAAUGAGCUGAAAUAAAAUGCACAUUACAUGGUGUUUUAAAAUUAAAAAAUGUCUGACAUUACACAGUUAAAAUUUAAAAAGAAAUGAAUCAAAUUAAAAAAAAAACUAAACAAAUUAAUUUAAUAUAAUAUCUGUGGUACUCCCUCGCUUGUGGCUGACCCCUUCUUAAAUUAAAAAAGAAGCUCAAAAAUAUGGGCUCACACAAAAUAUGGCUAAAGCUAUGAUCGUUCAGUUUUUCAGAUCAGAAAGAAAGCCAAAAGUGAUCUGUUUAACCCGAAAUUCAAAAAAUUACGGAUUAAAUAAGUGAAAACAAAUUUAAUAGAUUCAUUACAAAGAUGAAUAGUAAUUAUUGAAUUUAAGGAGCAAUAUUGAUACUGAAAAUUUAUAAAAUAACUAAAUAACUCCAGCGAGUCUACAUUGUUAUGUAAACAAAGCCUAUUAAAAAUACAGUUAUUCCAUCUGAUCUGACUACCUGCCCUACCUGCAAUCCGUCAAUAAGGUCACAGGCAAUGAGCACCCCUGACAUAAAAUAUAAACUCAUAGUGAAAUUUUUAGAUAGACAUUCCCAAGCAUGGACAAUUUGCACUCUGUCAAGUUAAAGAGAGAAAAACUGAAUAGAGUUACUUAUAAAAUUACAAAAAAUAUUGUUAACGAAAAGUAUAAAAUUAUGGUGAAUGGCAUAAGAUUCCAACUAAGUUCCUGUAAAUAAAGGAUAAUAAAAUAUCUACAGAAUUCUAUAAUCGUAAGGUAAUAUAAUUCAGGUGAUGUAUAAUACAAAAUUAAUAUAAAUGAUAAAUCAAUUCUUAUCUAAUACCAAAAAUACAUAGUUAUUUUACCAAUGGCCACAGUAUUAUAGAAAUAGAAGAUCUUAAAUAAUAUACGUAGAUUGUUGCCUAAAAACAUUGCUAAAUAGCCAGUAGCUAAUGCACAUCUUAAAUAGCCCAUGAACCAUGCACACACACUCUGAGCAAGAGAAGUGUACUAUCGAUUUCAAAGCUUCGCCAUUUUAUGAGUAAAAUAUCAUAUCGAGAUUGUUUUAUUAUAAAUUAUGCUAAAAUAGCAUUGACGUGUUGCACAUCAUUGUUGGAUAUUGUCAUUUAUAAGAUUUAGAGGAAUUAUAAUUUUUAACUGUAGUGUCUUCAUUUUUUUCACUUUUAUAUGAAAGCUGUUGUUGAUUGCUGUUUGAUUUAAGUAUAAAUGAAUGUGUGGGAUAAAUGAAACUGUUUUGAAUUAUUAAGUAUCUUAAGUAUAUUUACGGUUCAUAUAGGGAAUGGUAAUUAAGGUAAUUAAAAAACUAGGAACGUAAUAAGAGUUAUGUGAUCAUAUCUUAAUAAGAAGUUGGAGAACUAGAAACCUAAAGGUUCUGGAGUUGUCUCAUCAAAACCUUGGUUUAAAUAAAGAUUUUCUUCUAUUUUAAAAAUAUUAUAUCUGAGGUCAUUAGCUAGUGACUAUUUAUAUUUGUCAAUCUCCUGAAGAUAUACUUUAUUUAUAUUAUAUUAAUCUCAAUACGGAAAAUUCAAUUAAAUAAGUUAAGUCACUAGUCACUAGUAUGAUAUGUUUAUUUAAGGACCAAAAUUAAGCAAUUUUAUUUUACGAUAAUAUACUAAUAAUAAGGUUAUUCUAUAGAGAUGGAUAUACGCUUAGAGGAACUAUAUAUGACAUAUCUAUGUAUAUAUUACUAGUAGUAUUGCGUAAUUCUUGUAGUUACAAAAUUUGGACUUUAAUAAUUGAUUGUGUAAUUCUUGCUGCAAGAAUAAGCCUUAAAGUCUCUCGUUUAUUGCCAAAUGCGGUUAAUUUUUGGUAGUGCACAUUGUAAUAUGUCAGUGUCACAGUACAAUAUUUUAAUUUUUAGGUAAUCUUAAUAUUCCAAUUUUAGUCAAAAAUUAGAGAACAUACAAAUCAAUAGUAUUAUUAUGGCUAGUGUGCCUUUUUUUUUACAGAAACCUAAUUACUAAUUUUAUGACUUUAACACGUUUUGCUUUUCUUUUUGAUUUGAACCGUCGACCGAUCUACUUGGCACAAGCCUAUUUGUUUUUGGCAGCACAAUUUUUUCGAGUUUUUUAUUUAACUAGAAGAGAUCAAACACAGGCAAGGUGAGUACCAUUGUAUUAAAUCUAUUUGUUUUUUAAGUUUAAUUGAUAAUUUAAAUUUUCAAAUUUAAUUAAGGAAUAACAGAUAUUUUAUCUUAAAAUAUAAUUUACUUUUUCUUUCAGCUCAUCGACAGUUUAAGCUUUUCAGCUGUUAGUUUUAUUGGAGUUUACUUUUAAGAAGUUGCAAACCCAACUAGUUUUGGAAACUAGGAAAAUUUCAAAUAACACCUGACAGACAAGUACAUGACCUUUAAAUUGAAACCAAAUCAGUUCCGAGAAUAACAAAAACUCGACCCUAAUAAAUUACAAUAGAUAUAGUAGUAGAUAUUUGCAAUUUAUUUCCUCACUCUUAUGUAGCAUUCUCGUUCAUCUCAUUGCCCACACCAACGCAACCUCGGCAUAACCAAACGCAUUACUUAAUAAUAUUAUCUUUUAUACGCAUUCUACUGGCUAAUAGCUACGCCAUAACAUUACGACUUUUUGACGGGUAUCCAGUUAUCGUCUAAAAUUAAUUGUGCUCGAUUAUUAGUUUCAUGAAUGAUAUUAUCUAUGAUUUCAUCGGCAAAGAAACUUUAAAAACUUCUGCCUUCGUGAUAAAACGUGAGAUGCACUUAGUUUUGCUAGGCCUUUUAGCUAAGAAGGAUCAAUAUUACUGCUUAGAACUUCUCUAAGUUCUCUCUCUUAUGUGCGAUCUUUUGCCAAAAUAUUUUUUCUUUGGUUAGAAUCCUCGUAUUUUCCUUCUUCGGUAUCUGUUAUAAAAAGAUCUAAAAAUAGAUUUUGAUAAUGGACAGUGCAAAAUUACUUGACGUUCCACAUAAUAGAUAGUAUUUACUUAACAUAAAAUUUAAAUAUGGAAUGCCAAGCAGGGUCUUUGCGCCAAGCAGAUAAUUGAAUUAAAAGUUAAAAAUAUUUCUGAAUCUAUAAGAGAAAAACACACAUUGGGGUCAAAAUUAUCUCCAAUUUUAAACCAAUUGUCUUGUGAUUUGCUUACUUUAAAGGAUAUACUGCGAAUACGUGAAUUGAAUGCCCAUGUAUAGAUUUUUAUAAGAACAUAUAGAUCCCUAUGCGUCCCUUGUCAGCAAACCAAUACCUGAGCUUUUUCGACGUCAUUAACAGUCCGAUUUUUCCCGCUAAAAUAGUCUUCACUGAGCCUGUUACUACGAUCCUCAAACCAAUAAUACUGUAAUUUAGCAGCAAGAAAUUUGUGGCAUAACGUAUCGAAGGCCUUACUUAAGUCCAGACAAACUAGUGUGGCAGAGUCACCAUUAUAGGCAGCAACCAACAUAUUAUCGACUAUACUUAACAGGUAUAGUCGAUGGACUGUGCUCUAUAUAUAGCUCUAGCUAAUAUAUAGCUCAUUGUCCUUUAUAAAUUUAAAAGCCAACGGAUCAAGAGUUUUUUAGAAAUUUGACCCUACACAGGAUAAGUAAAUGAUUCAACUGCUCAAGAUUUACAAUAUUAACGCACAAAAGUUAUUUUUCAAGAUUUUUAAAAUCUACCAGCUAAAACACAUUCGUUAAUAACAUAUCCUAUAUAGGGUAUAAUAUAUUCACCAUACAAUUCUAUCAUUUGCAGACUUAUAUUAUAUGUCGUUCAAUAUGGCGUCAGAAUGAUUUGAAGCAAUUUCAUGAAAGAUGUCUUGUCGAAUGAACAGCUUAGAAAUUGGACUAUGUUCCAACUUCCCUUUAUGUAUUUUCGUCGAAGGAGCAUACUCAAAUAACUCAACAAUGCACAUACCAGGUUACAAUUCUUAAGAACGCCAAAUUCUCUCGUCUUGAUUUGACAAUUGACACUGAUGUAGGUUUUGCUACGCGAAAAAGAGAUCUUAUAGCCUGUCCAAGCGAGGGGUGGUUAAAACCAAAAGUAAAUACCGCUUUAUACAAGCGAUAUUUGGUAUUUACCCAAGACGUCAAAUGACUUCAUGGGAUUAACCGCCAGUAACCCUGCUUAGGAGGAAAGUUAUAGCGGUUGAUAGCUGACAAAUAAAAAAAAUCGAAAACGGAGUGUAUAAACAAACAAAAACUACUAUAAUAUUAUAUUCAUUUGGCAAAAUAUACAAAAAUGUAUUAUGCCAACCCACAAGUGGGUUUUGUUCAAACUCCAUCCAAAAAAAAUAAUGAAGUUUUAAGAACAACGCCCGUACAGUGCUACAACUGAAAGAACCCUGGCGAAAAGAAUGGGGCAAAAAAAUAUUUUCGCUUUUGCAACGUUGCCACUACUUCUCAUAAUUUAUUAUACUAAUAUGUCUUAUAUAUUUAUUAUUACUUUUUUCUAACUUAAAAUUACAUAUUUUAUAACACUUCACCAAAACACGCAGUCUGUAUUAAAAAUUAUACUUAAUACUCGUACGUAAUCUACAUGAUUUAUGCAGCGAAGGCAAAAAUCACCAGCAUCAUAAUUCUUUCAUUACACCAAAAAGUGUCUCAGCUGGCAACAGACCGCACAGAUGAUCUUGCAGGUGCUCAGUGGAGGCGGGCCCUGAGCGGCGACGUUUCGUAUCUGUCUCCUGAUUCGUCCAGCCAUACACGUGACUUACAAUGGUUGUUUGGCACGCGAUACAUUUUUAUAUUUUUUUACAUACUAUAUUAGGUUUAAAGACUCCUUGUCUUGUUAUCUUGCCAUAGGCGCGCGUAGAGAUUUUGGACGAUUUUGCGAUUUCGGCGUUUAUUAAUUUGCGAUUAUAUUUAACUGUUAUUUGUUGUUGUUGCUCUUGUUAUUGUUCUUGUUAUUUGCGUUUUUUUUCUAUUAUUGAUUAUUGUUUUUUUUUUGUUAAUGACAUUAGAUAUUUUAUUUUCCUUGAUUACGCAUUUAGCGGAAAAUAAAGUAAGUAUAGAUUAAGCUACCAAAUACAAUUUUUAUAAGUAAAAUUGUAUAUUUAUUUCUAGAGUUUUAAAGUAAUUUUUAUUUUACUUUCAAUUAUUCAUUAUGGAAAGAAACCAAUUCUUACAUAAACAGGCAUUAAGCGGUCAAUCUAGGGAGAUAAUAGCAAUUGCGAUGAAGAAGCUCUAGCCAAUGCAUUUAAAUUGCCUCUUAAAAGAAAGAUUGAUCGAGUUGCUCUGUAUACUCUGUCUUUAAAGAUAAGGAAUUCAACACGACCCAGCUGCACGAAAAUGGGAAUUAUUUAAAAUAAUUCAACGAAACAAGCCCCCCAGUGUUAAAAAAAACUAUGUUGUGGACCGAAUAAUUCGGACCCGUGGGCAUGUUGCUCUUCGCACACCUCCAUACAUGUGCGAAUUAAAUCCGAUCAAAUUGUGGUAUUUAAAUUAUAUUCGAUCUCACAAUACAACGGGUGAUUUGGCAAUGAAAAAUUUGUUAGUCCAGGACGGAAUUGAGUCUAUAACUCCUUUACACUGGGCAAACUGUUGCAAACAUGACAUGGAGAUUGAAAAUAAAUUCUGGGAGACUGAUUAAAUAAUGAAGGAAGUCGAACAACUUAUUAUUACGAAUGCUGGUGGUAACGAUGAUAGUGAUGACUAUUCUUCUGACAGCGACGAAGAAAGUGACAAAGAAAAUUAUAUACAAGCCUUAGAAAACGCCGACCAAGAACCGGGUUAAAACCUAUUGCUAGUACAUAUGGGAUGUGUGGUGGACAGAGUUAAUCUUCAUUGAUCUGGCACACACAUGUCAGGGUUCUAGAUUGACUUGGCAAAACUAGAAAACUAGUAAAGAGUGACAAAAAGAGAACAGCUAAUUUUUACUUUAAAAAAUAAAAUCCAUAGGGAAAAAAUGGCUAGUUCUUUUUUAUAUUAUAUUAUAUUAAUGUUAAUUGUUACAAGUCAGUGAAUAGGCCAAAUACUGCCUUAGCUAUUCUCUUUUUAUGACUGAAAAUGGUAAAGGAAGCACAGUGAAAUUUUACCUAAAUUAUUUAAUUCGGAUAAAAAUUCAAAUUUAAAUUUAUCAGCAAAAAUUAUUAAUCCGAAACCAAAUUCGUGACAAAUUUACAAAUAUUAAAUAUUUUCAGGGGGUAUGUUUUAUUUAAUUGACGUUAUCGCGAUUGGACUGUAUGUUUUACCGCUCUUUCGAAUGGAAUCAGUCAUUUUUACCUAAAACCAGACAAAAAAAAGCCUUUUUUUCGAAGCCUUUUUUCAAAUCUGCCAAAAAGACACUAUAAAACUUUAUGGAAUAAAUCGACAAAAUACGUCAACUGAGUAAUUAAUUGAAGUUUCCAAAUGCACUAUUAGUUCUUUGGUAAAAAGGUGAACUAUUAAUUUUGUUUACAAUUUUAGGGCGUUGCUCUACUUAUGGGCGAUAGUGUACAAUUGUAUAUGAUAUAUCCUUUAAUAUAAAUAUAAUUUUACUAGAUACAAUUUUUGAUGAAUGAUUGAAAAAAAUUUUGAAUAAAGUAUAAAAUCUAAUAUUAAAUAUAAGAAUAAUUUAAAAUAUUAAUUCUAAAAUAAACUACAUGUUGUGGAUUGAGAGCAUAUCAGAUUAUUUAAGUAAAAUUGUACAGUUUGUGCAUCUGACUGACAAGUUAAAGAGCUGCCCGAUUCCAGAAAAUGCAAGCUUAUUUCGUUUGUGGUCCAACGAUUGAAACAAUGAAAACCUUUUUUGACCACCAGUUUUGACCACUAGAUUUUGUUGUGUUAACAUGAUCAAUAUAUGCCUUUUUUGCAAGUAGCAAAAUAUCUGGAUGGUUUUUUGAUGGGCCUACAUGUUUUUGUUCUUCGAAAUUUGUUUGGCAAUCCGAGCCCUGGAACUUAAUAUAAUAAUAUUUACCACAGGUAUA